AAACAGAGAGACACAAUUCAGCAGCCGCACAUAGAUAAUAUUGGACGCAUCAACAGGAGACGACAUCAGACGGACGAAGACAACAUUGAGGGACAGUUCGGGUUGCUAGGAAUCGUCGGGUAACAUUCAGGAGCGUUCGGAAGUGAAGUCUACGGGUUCUAUCUCUUAGAUUCUUCGUUUUUCGUUUGAUUCUUAUUGUUGCAUGAUGAAUUCAGAUUUGAUUAUGUUUGAUACUUUGUUUCUGAUCAUGUUUCUUGGCUAAACUUCAUAAACUACCUAGGCUAAUGACAAUAGCUAAAUAAAGUUUGAAUCUUUAUUCGAUU